rnacentral:tRNA from 1 species
GGGGGGAUGGCUCAGUGGUGGAGUGCAUGCCAGGCAUGCAUACGGCCCUGGGUUCAAUCCCCAGUACCUCUG